AGAUUAAUGUUUUUAAUAAUUAAUAAAGUUUUUGUCUUUUUUACAUGUAUAACUGCAGGAGGACCACGCUGACCAAAUCAACAGCACAUUCGCAAUAGUUAACGGAAGAUACUACAGGACAGCUGUAAACAAUAUUAUUAAGCAGGUGCUCAUAAAGAUGGAAAUCCCAGACCAUUCUGGUACAGAAGAGGUCGAGUAUAGUUUGAAAGGAAUGAAGAUUCAAUUAGGAAAUUUUGAAUCAAAGCAGAAGUUUGUUUCUGGAACUGGAGUCAGAAUAGCAGUUCAAAGCACCGA
rnacentral:lncRNA from 1 species